rnacentral:rRNA from 1 species
AACGAACGCUGGCGGCAUGCCUAACACAUGCAAGUCGAACGAGACCUUCGAGUCUAGUGGCGCACGGGUGCGUAACGCGUGGGAACCUGCCCUUAGGUUCGGAAUAACUCCCCGAAAGGGGUGCUAAUACCGGAUAAUGUCUUCGGACCAAAGAUUUAUCGCCUUUGGAUGGGCCCGCGUUGGAUUAGCUAGUUGGUAGGGUAAAAGCCUACCAAGGCGACGAUCCAUAGCUGGUCUGAGAGGAUGAUCAGCCACACUGGGACUGAGACACGGCCCAGACUCCUACGGGAGGCAGCAGUGGGGAAUAUUGGACAAUGGGCGAAAGCCUGAUCCAGCAAUGCCGCGUGAGUGAUGAAGGCCUUAGGGUUGUAAAGCUCUUUUACCCGGGAUGAUAAUGGCAGUACCGGGAGAAUAAGCUCCGGCUAACUCCGUG